AGAGGGUGCGAGCGUUAAUCGGAUUUACUGGGCGUAAAGCGUGCGUAGGCGGCUUUUUAAGUCGGAUGUGAAAUCCCCUAGCUUAACUUGGGAAUUGCAUUCGAUACUGGGAAGCUAGAGUAUGGGAGAGGAUGGUAGAAUUCCAGGUGUAGCGGUGAAAUGCGUAGAGAUCUGGAGGAAUACCGAUGGCGAAGGCAGCCAUCUGGCCUAAUACUGACGCUGAGGUACGAAAGCAUGGGGAGCAAACAGGAUUAGAUACCCUGGUAGUCCAUGCCGUAAACGAUGUCUACUAGCCGUUGGGGCCUUUGAGGCUUUAGUGGCGCAGCUAACGCGAUAAGUAGACCGCCUGGGGAGUACGGUCGCAAGACUA
rnacentral:rRNA from 1 species